rnacentral:rRNA from 1 species
GACGAACGCUGGCGGCGUGCUUAACACAUGCAAGUCGAACGGAAAGGCCCUGCUUUUGUGGGGUGCUCGAUUGGCGAACGGGUGAGUAACACGUGAGUAACCUGCCCUUGACUUUGGGAUAACUUCAGGAAACUGGGGCUAAUACCGGAUAGGAGCUCCUGCUGCAUGGUUGGGGUUGGAAAGUUUCGGCGGUUGGGGAUGGACUCGCUGCUUAUCAGCUUGUUGGUUGGGUAGUUGCUUACCAAGUCUUUGACGGGUAGCCGGCCUGAGAGGGUGACCGGAAAAAAUGGGACUGAGAGAAGGCACAGAAUAGAAGGGGAGGCAGGAGGGGGGAAUAUUGCAGAAUGGGAGGAAGCAUGAUGAAGAAACGCAGCGUGCGGGAUGACGGCCUUAGGGGUGUAAACAGAUGUAGAAUGUGACGAAGAGUGAGUGACGGUAAUGGGUAAAGAAGCACCGGCUAACUACGUG